GACUCCGACUCCACCGUGAGCUCGCCCCCGGCCUCAUUUCGCAUCUCUUCAUUAUCCUUCAGUCUCCAGCUAGGUUCACGAACUCGGUCGAUUCCUCCAAUGCAGACAACACCAAUCUGGACAAGGAUCGAGACGGAGUUCGGGACCGAGAACGUGACUGUGACAGGGAGAGAGAUAGAGGGCGAGAUCGAGACUGCAAUAGGAAUAAAGACAGAGAGCGAGAGCGAGAGAGAGACCAUGAGCGUGGUCGUCGUGAACGAGAUCGUGAACCGGAUAUGAGAAAUAGAGAUAAGGAUCAAAAGGAGGAGGCUAAGGCUAGGAAGAAGGUAAGGGUUGAGAAAUUGGUUGAGAGAGAGAGGGAGAAGGAACUCGUUUGAUAUGAAGGAAACUUGCUGAGAAGGUUGCAGAUCUGGAUUAUAUGUCGUGGUUCCUGAUGUCUUCCAUGGAGAUCCAUAUAAUUUGAGAAUCAAGAUCGACCUUUAACAAUGGUAUGGUUAAAAGUUUAGUUUUUUCCUGUUGGUUUCAUGAUCCGUUACUUUUGUUAAAACUUGUUGGUUUCUUGUGUUCAUGAGCAUCGUGUUAUAACUGCUAGUGGUGUUGUGUCUGUCAUUGUCUUUGGAGAUAGAGAAAAGCGACCAUUGAUUACUUAUCCUGAUUUGGCCUUAAACCGUAAGUCUGAAGAAUCUCUGUUUUACUGAAUUUGUUAAUGUUUUCGUUGCUUCUUGCCUUAUAGUUUGCUUGUCGUGAUUACUCACAUAAUUUCUCUUUUUUUCUUGUAUCUUCACGAAGAGUUCUUGCAGUUAGGAGCUGCUCCAAUUUUUCCUAAUGACUCAGCCCCUUGUGCUGAAAACUUGGCAGAUCAGAUCCUUGAAUUCUCAACUUUUUCGAUCUUGGUGUUGUGAUGUGUAUGGGAGUGACUGUAGAUGCUUAUGUCCUCACCUUAUUCCCGCUGCAGAAGGAGCUUGAUGAGUAUGAGAAGGAAAUGUCACUCGGGGAGGAGCUGCAAAAGAGUUCUCAGGUUCCUUAUCUUUCCUCUACCAAAUCUUAUAUCUCAAGUUUGCGUAUCUGUACAAAUAGAAUUAUUAGUUUGAAAUAAUGCUUAAUCACAUAUUGUUUGUUUUACAAUUUG